rnacentral:rRNA from 1 species
UACAGAGGGGGCAAGCGUUGUUCGGAAUUACUGGGCGUAAAGGGCGCGUAGGCGGCGUGACAAGUCACUUGUGAAAUCUCCGGGCUUAACUCGGAACGGUCAAGUGAUACUGUCGUGCUAGAGUACAGAAGGGGCAACUGGAAUUCUCGGUGUAGCGGUGAAAUGCGUAGAUAUCGAGAGGAACACCUGCGGCGAAGGCGGGUUGCUGGGCUGAUACUGACGCUGAGGCGCGAAAGCGUGGGGAGCGAACAGG